rnacentral:rRNA from 1 species
AUUGAACGCUGGCGGCAGGCCUAACACAUGCAAGUCGAGCGGACGAAGGGAGCUUUCUCCUGUAUUCAGCUGCGGACGGGCGAGUAAUUCCUAGGAAUCUACCUUGUAUUUGGGGCUAGCGUCCGGUCACGGGCGCUAAUACCGCAUCCGUCCUGAUGUUGAAAGUCGGGGUUCUUCGGACCUCGAGCUUUCUGCUGUGCCUAGGUCGGAUUAGCUAGUUGGUGUGGUAAGGGCCUACCAAGGCGACGAUCCGUAACUGGUCUGAGAGGAUGAUCAGUCACACUGGAACUGAGACACGGUCCAGACUCCUACGGGAGGCAGCAGUGGGGAAUAUUGGACAAAGGGCGAAAGCCUGAUCCAGCCAUGCCGCGUGAGUGAAGAAGGUCUUCGGAUUGUAAAGCACUUUAAGUUGGGAGGAAGGGAAGUAAGUGAAUACAUUGCUGUUUUGACGGUACCAACAGAAUAAGCACCGGCUAACUUCGUG